UACGAAGGGGGCUAGCGUUGCUCGGAAUCACUGGGCGUAAAGCGCACGUAGGCGGCUUUCUAAGUCAGGGGUGAAAUCCUGGAGCUCAACUCCAGAACUGCCUUUGAUACUGGGAAGCUUGAGUCCGGGAGAGGUGAGUGGAACUGCGAGUGUAGAGGUGAAAUUCGUAGAUAUUCGCAAGAACACCAGUGGCGAAGGCGGCUCACUGGCCCGGUACUGACGCUGAGGUGCGAAAGCGUGGGGAGCAAACAGG
rnacentral:rRNA from 1 species